rnacentral:lncRNA from 12 species
ACUCCUUGGUGACAACGGUCACCUAAUUAAGUGUCUUUCUUUGUCAUGUGUCUCACACAGCAGCUCAGACAGAAAAUGAAUGAUUCUGGGGAAAAGAAAGCUGGACUCUAAGAUCCUCUCAAAGGCGAUGUGACCAGAUGAGAGAUCCCCUCACCAGAAUGUGCCAACCUGAGAUUAAACUUCAAACUCGCUGUUCUGACAUUUCCUUCUAUGAGAACAUCAUCUUACCUGGAUUCUGUCAAUGGUCUUUUGCUUACUGCCAAAGUAAAGCACUGCAGAACAUUUGGAAACUAUUGAAAAAGAAACCACUGCUCAUCUGCCAGCCUCACAGCCAGAGCCACUUCAGCUACCAUCCCAGAAAAGUCCACCUAUCAGGAUUCUGGGCAUUUUCCUCAGAGACCCCUGGGCUUCCUUUCUAAAUAAAUGGUUCAUUCACCACAAAGAAAAAUCACAAGGAUGUGCAUGCUUGCUACAGAGGGUCCCUCUCCUGGAAUCAACAGCCCCAGCCACAUGUUCAUUGGUGCGACUACACUCGGCCACCUGUGAACACUGUUUCCAGGCCCCCAGGUUGAACACCCUCCCUGCUUGCCUCCUCACUGAUAUACUUUGAGAUUCUAGUGACAGGCCUCUGACAAAAGACAGGAGGCAGCUUGAGGACUAGAAGCAGGGUUUGGAGAGAUUGACCCCGACUUGGCUUUGG